rnacentral:rRNA from 1 species
AUUGAACGCUGGCGGCAGGCCUAAUACAUGCAAGUCGAACGAGUGGCGGACGGGUGAGUAAUGUCUGGGAACCUGCCUGAUGGAGGGGGAUAACUACUGGAAACGGUAGCUAAUACCGCAUACCAUCGGAUGUGCCCAGAUGGGAUUAGCUAGUCGGUGGGGUAAAGGCUCACCUAGGCGACGAUCCCUAGCUGGUCUGAGAGGGUGACCGGCCACACUGGAACUGAGACACGGUCCAGACUCCUACGGGAGGCAGCAGUAGGGAAUAUUGCGCAAUGGGCGAAAGCCUGAUGGAGCCAUGCCGCGUGUAUGAAGAAGGCCUUCGGGUUGUAAAGUACUUUCAGCGGGGAGGCGGUACCCAAAGAGGAAGCACCGGCUAACUCCGUGCCAGCCGCCGCGGUAAUUC